UGGGCUCCUGCGGUGAGGGCCCGGCCAGGCCACAGCGCCGCCCUCACGGCGCCCACCUCACCUGUCCUGCCUAUUGUACCUCUGCUGCGUUACGCGUGAAUGAAUUCAUUUUGAAUGAAUGCCAAAUGCUGAACCACUCAGGAUAACCUCAAAUACCAGGAGAACUCGACAAAACUACUGUAACUUCUUGGGGCUACAUUCUGUAUUCAUGCCUUUCUUGUGCUACCAGGACACUUAUUGGAAAGUUUUCCUGAUGGAAAUCCAGUUCAUGUUAAAAGAAGUUUUGUGGCAGAUUCAUAGCAGAUUUUUUUGUUGAAGCAGAAGAAAGGAAAUCUCAAGGACAUGUCUGGAUUGACAGCUUUGUGCUGAGUGUUCCUGCAAGGCACUGAGCAUCCUUAACUCCAAUUAACAUCACUGGGAAUGGAGGCUCUUGGAGCCUCUCUGAAGACAGUCUUAGCAUGCUCAGCUGUCCAAGGAUCACUCUGGGAUCACCCACUGGCACAGCAGCUGCUGCUGAGAGAGGAGACACAGGCAGCAAGAGGAGGGAAAGAUCACUUUAUCCAGAUUGUGUGGUCUCAUCAAGUCACAGAACUUCCCAACCUCAGAGCUCUCUGUUUUUAAGCCUACAGGCAUAUUUGUGAUGGUGUGGAGGAAAAACCUCUUGGGGAGCAGAUUCAAUCCUUGCUCGAGGAGAGGUGAAAACAGCCCUGGAGGGAGAGGAGAACCCUCAUCACUGUGUGCCAGGGAAAGUUGCUGUGAGCUGAAGAGUCUCUGCAGCAGCUCUUCCACUCCUGCAGUCCUGCCUCAGCUUCAGAAACCAGGUGAUGCUAUUGGCAUUUUGCUUCCUCCUUUAUUCUAUCAAAGGUCACUUCAUGACACUGUGGUGAGCCCCAGAAUGAUGAAAUGUUCUGCAGGAAUCCCUUUUCUUCAGGCAGGUUUAUCCCAGUGCACCACAGACUCUGUUUAGGAGAGGCUGCAGCAGGGCAAGGACUCUACCCUGCACCUUCUGGGUGCCUCCCUGCUCUGCUCUCCCUUCCCACUCCUCCCUUUGCUUCCUGAUUCUUGAAAUUCCUGAGCACCUCUAGUUCUGGGACAUACUGGAAUUUGUGCACACAGCCCUUCAACUGUUUUCCUCUGAGUGAAAAUUUUCCAGGGAAUGCCCAGGGAGUGCAGACAUCUCCUCACAGCAUUUAAUUGCUUCUUAGUAGGAAGGGAUGUUAGUGGGAUUCCUGUUUGUUGUACUUGGGACACUUACAGAACCUCAUGGGGUAAUUAUUCCUAAUUAGCAACUUGGACACACGCUGCUCCUUCCUCCUCCAAUCUGCAAUUAAUAAUACAGACAUAAUUCAGAUUUCUCCUU